AAAACUUUAUUCCUUUAUUUCAUUUUUGGUCCAAUUGCUAGUUAAUUCAUAUGCUAUUAAAAGGUGCCAUAAUAACUUACAUAACUAUUUUGCAGCAAGAGUUAAGUCUAUUUAUGGCAAUUCAUGAACAAGUGACCUUUAGAGGAAGAAGAAAUCGAAACAAGAUUCAUAGAUGAACUUGUGGAAGGAUUAUUGUCAAAACCUACAAAACAGAAUGACUCGUGAACAUAUGUAAACACUAGAGAGCCGCACCGUUGGGGUGCUUGGGUCCGCCUCCCUGCGUCUCUCUCCUAUCCUCCUCGCACAAUCUUGUGCAAGUCGGUUGAUUAUCGAACUCCAGUAUGUGCAGGACAGAGCCAACAUAGAGUUAGGGGUUCAUCUCAAUCAUCUUCAACGAAAAAUAUUAUUAUUUAUACACAGUUAAAAUUAUAAAGAACAUAGCAACAUGCAAUAUUUGAUGUAAAUUAUAGGAUCUCGUUAAUCAGUUGUUGAUUGAUCUUUUAAUAUGUUAAUUUCAAACAACUUUCCCUUGUUCCACUUCUUCCUAGCUACUUUUCAUUUAAUAUGUAUUUAUUUUACUGCAUAAGUAUUAAAAAAAGUGUAUAUAUAAUAAAUUAUAAAAAUUGAUCUUUAUGUUCCUUAUAUGAGAUUAGCUAUCUUCUUUCAAAUAAUGAACAACGCAAAAGCACUUAAUAAUCUCAAAGAUAGUAAGAAUGAGUUCGAAGCCUAAUAAGUAUAAAAUGUUAACAAAAAUUUUAAAAUGGUAUAUAAAUUUUAAAUUUAAUCAAUACAGUAAAAUCAUUGAUAGAGUAGCGAUUUUACUACACAAAAAUACGAAGGAUUAUUUUUUAGCAAUUUUUAAAUAAAAAUUAAAAAAAUUAUGAAUAUCACUGCUGACAACGAUUUAAUUGAAUUUUUUUUAAAAAAAGAAGCUAAAUCGCUGCAGUGCAGCGAUUAUUUUUUUAAAAGAAUUUGACUUAAGUUGCUGCUUUGCAGUAAUUUAAGUUAAAAAAAUAAUUUAAAAAAAUUUGGUACACGAACGCUGCUAGCCAGCGAUUUGCUUUUUAUUUUUUAUUUUUAAAAAAAUUCUAAUAAAUAAUAAAAAAAAAUUAAGAUAAAAUACUGCUAGGCAGCGAUUUAUUAAAAAAUUAUUUUAAAAAAAUUUAUACUGUAAAUCGUUGUCAUGACAGCGAUUUCAUUUUAAAAACUUUUUAUUAAUAAAAAUAAUUAAAUUUAGCAAAUCGCUGGUGUUGCAGCAAUUUUUCUUUUUCAGGCGAGCAAAAUUUAAAAUUUAUAUAUCAUUUUAAAAUUUUUUGUUAAUAUUUUAUAUUCAUUACACUUCGAUCUAAUAUGAAUAUUUUUCCUAUUCAAUUUAUGUAAUAAUGAAAUAUAUGUUUCGAAAUUUAACAAGUUCAUCUAAUUAUAUAAUUAAACACAUAGAACAUAAAUAACAAAAUUUCAACAAAGAGAACACAAUAAAUAGGAGUAAGAAAGGGGAAAAAAUCACAUAAAUGUAAAGAAAAAGACGGGUCAUGGACUGUUCUUGAAACAUUGUCAGGUUGGGUAAGAAUCCGAUGAGCCCACAAUAAAGCCCACCCGAUUCACUACUUUUUUUUUUCAAUUUCGUUUCAUAUUCGAUAUUUAUAUUGAAAGUUACUAAUAUGAUUUGCGCCUCUACUAUAGUAAAAAAAAUAAUCCGUGUUGAGACCUCUAAUUAAGAUGAAAUCAACCUUAUCCAAUGUUUUGCACACGGAGUCUUAUGGUGGUAGAAUUUUGAAUAAUUUAUUUACUCGAAAUCUUAUUAUUUACGUAAUGAAUUGUAAAAUAUUAGUUCAAAUGAUCAAAUUUUGAAUUGUUUUUCGUGAUUUUAAAGUAAUUGCCAUCACUUUCUAAGAUUAAAAAAAAACAUUUUGAUUAAAAAAUUCAUAAUUAAAGCGCAAAAUAACUUUAAUGAUGAAAAUUCGAUAAGUGAAAAACUUCAAUAUGACAUAUUAAAGUUCAAAAUAUACUAGAUAUUUAUACUUCAUAUAUGAUCCAAUGACAUAUGGAAGUUUAAACUUUCAUCUAUUAUGUUUACUCUGUUUCAAUUACCUUAUUAAUUUACUAUUGUUUUUAGUAAAUCUUAUAUUAUUUGUUAUAUUUUCUUCUUGCUUGUAUCUAAAUUUAUUGUAGUUGAAUUGAGAAUUCUUUUAGAACAGCCUUUCAAUCGCAACGAGAUGUUAUGGGUCUCUCAAUAACAAUUUCUAUCUUCACGAGAUAAUAAAUUUUCUUACAUAUGUUAUAUUUUUUACAAUAUUCAUAAGUAAAAUUACGUAUAUUAUAUUCUUUUCAAACCUCACCGAUAAAAUUACGCUGAGAUAUGUACUCCAAAUAUCACCUAGAGUUAAGGUUUAUAAAUAUUUUAUGUAUUUACUUUGUGCUAUAUUUGGUACCUUAAAAUUUGGUAAGUGCACAAAAACCAAAGCAAAUAUUGCUUUAAGGCAGCGGCUACUCAGAGAAAAGGGCAAAUCCUUUUUAUAGAGUCAAAGAUAAGGAAGACUACAGUAGUACACACAGUUGCAGAGAAGACCGCCAUUGAAGCUCUUGAUAAAAACUCCAUAUAAGAAACAAUUAACUCUGGAAAAUUCCAAAAAAGAAGAAGAAAAGAGAAGGAAGUAUAUAGAAAGCUUCAUUUUUCACUUCAAAUACUUCCAUUUUUUCUCUUUUUUUUGUUAGUGUUUUGAACCUCAUUGGUGGGGUUACUGUGGAGUAAUCUCUGUUUAAAUUGUGGGGUUUGUUUAAAAGUUUCAGUUGGAGUUUGCAGCAUUAACGAAAUUCGAGAAACUGUAGAAAUUGAGCUUGGGGUUGUCUUGUUGAGUCUCAUUCUGGAAUUGGGUUAGCUGUGUUGUAUCAAAGUUGGGUUUGGUUUGUUUUUUCUGUGAAAUGGAUAAUCUGAUAGAGUGUAUUGAAGCAGGAGAAGCUAGAUCCGAGAAUUGCGGAGCUAGAAUGGGAGAAAUUAAAGAUGGGUUUCAUCAAUUUGGUGAGGAAAUUUUGUCUGUUACGUCGGAAGGUGGAAGUUCUUUCACUGCUUUACUUGGGCUUCCGCCGAAUCAAGCGGUGGAGCUUUUGGUUCAGUCACCGGAAACUGACAAAAUAGCAUCAGAUAAGCUUGCUAUCAGUGAACCUCACUAUCGUUAUCCUCCUCCUCCUCCGAUUUUUCCUUCAGAUAUCGCUUUGAUCGAUAGAGCUUCUAAGUUCUCCGUCUUCGCCGCCGCCGGUAACUCCCCGGAGUCCAAUUCAACCCUUUCGAAUUCCGGGUCGAAAUCACUGUUCGUCAAGCAAGAACCCCUAGAUUCCGAAUGUAACCACAACUCAUCUCCGGCGACUUCCAAUCCACUAGUCCAUCAGAAAUCAACAAAGAGAAAGGAACGCGAGAAAAAGGUAAUUUCAACACCCCAUGACGAAGCCAGAAUUUUCAUUUUCUCUGGUAGUAAAGUAAACACAUGAACUAGCCGAAGGCCUAAAGAAUAGUGUUAACUAUGUAUAAAUAGUAUAAUUUUCCGAUGAAUGAUACUAAUUUCAGUACAAUUUAUGUGAAAUUCAGGUAAAAGAAACUUCUAAAAAGGGGAAAAAAUCAGCUAACGAUACCUCAGAAGACGGCGGCGAGAAGCUACCAUAUGUUCACGUCCGAGCGCGUCGAGGCCAAGCCACUGAUAGCCAUAGUUUAGCAGAAAGAGUAAGAUUAAGAGCUUCUAAUGUUUUGCUAAACAUGGUAAUUAGUAAUU
rnacentral:lncRNA from 1 species